UACGUAGGGUGCGAGCGUUAAUCGGAAUUACUGGGCGUAAAGAGUGCGCAGGCGGUUUGUUAAGUCUGAUGUGAAAGCCCCGGGCUCAACCUGGGAAUGGCAUUGGAAACUGGCAAGCUUGAGUAUGGCAGAGGGGGGUGGAAUUCCGCGUGUAGCAGUGAAAUGCGUAGAGAUGCGGAGGAACACCGAUGGCGAAGGCAGCCCCCUGGGCCAAUACUGACGCUCAGGCACGAAAGCGUGGGGAGCAAACAGG
rnacentral:rRNA from 1 species